rnacentral:rRNA from 1 species
GACGAACGCUGGCGGCGUGCUUAACACAUGCAAGUCGAACGGAAAGGCCCUGCUUGCAGGGUACUCGAGUGGCGAACGGGUGAGUAACACGUGGGUGAUCUGCCCUGCACUUCGGGAUAAGCCUGGGAAACUGGGUCUAAUACCGGAUAGGAGCCAUUUUUAGUGUGUUGGUUGGAAAGUUUUUUCGGUGUAGGAUGAGCUCGCGGCCUAUCAGCUUGUUGGUGGGGUAAUGGCCUACCAAGGCGGCGACGGGUAGCCGGCCUGAGGGGGUGGACGGCCACAUUGGGACUGAGAUACGGCCCAGACUCCUACGGGAGGCAGCAGUGGGGAAUAUUGCACAAUGGGCGCAAGCCUGAUGCAGCGACGCCGCGUGGGGGAUGACGGCCUUCGGGUUGUAAACUCCUUUCGCUAGGGACGAAGCUUUUUGUGACGGUACCUAGAGAAGAAGCACCGGCUAACUACGUG